GGUGAAUUCUCAAGACUGAAUGUGGGAGCUGUGUCAUUCUAUACAAACUGCUCUUAUUUAAGUGUUAAGUUUUAUUUUUAAAAGCUCUGCUGUCCCUUGAUAGAAGGAGGGAGUGGAAGUGGGAAGAGGCAAUGUGUGAACAAGGUUAGAAGCAGAAAGAAAAAGGAAAGAGAGAAAAAAAGGGUGUCUUCUGAGCUCAGGGUCCAGCACAGCAUAGCUGGGAACACCGUCCACCACGGGAUGAAGCUGAGGAGGAAGGUUGAAGAUUUUUCCUGGUUAUCUGUGAGUGGAAAUUAUGAUUGUUGUAAAGAAGUAACAACUUUGGAAACAUGGAGGGUGUCCCUUGUAUAUCCUCCAUGUGCUUUUGAAUCCAAUUGCUGGCACCUGUGACUUCCUGUGAACACUGCUUUCAGGCUACUGGAGCAACUUUUCUGGGAAGUUCAGAGAGAAGGAAGUGCCUGGAAUUUACCUUCCCUAUGUCCCAUCUGAGCUCUUAGUCUGUGACUGGCAGUUAAGGAAUAUGAAAGCUCAGCUCUCAUGCCUCAGAUAGACAGCACUGAGAUCACAAAAAGGUCCAGAGCUGAAGUCACCUACCUAGCAAGAUGCCGGGCAGAGACCAUCAGCUCUUCUCAUGAUUGCUGUUGCAGUACUUCCUCCCUGCUCCAAGGAGCCACAUCACUUGUAGAGUGAAAACCCCUCAAGAAUGAAGACUGGGAGAGGUGGAGAUGCUGAUGAAUAUCCUGUGCCUGUGACAGAAGAAAGUAGUCUUAGUCUCUCCUAGAACAGGACUUUCUUAGUGCCACAAAACACAGGAAGGUGACAGCUUCCACCGAGGGUGUCACUGCAUGGAAAAUACCUUUCUGUACAGAUAACUGUGGAUUUGGGAGAAAACAAUCUGGGGAGGAAGAACUGGGUCCUGAGUCCCAGGGCAGUUUUCAAAAUGAUUUUGAACUGUGGGUUUAUUCUCAUGCCAUGAAUGCAAGCAUAAAGACCCCCUAUAUAAGUUCAUCAACAAAGAAAAAAACCCAGCAACUCUCCUGACUCUGGAAGGGAGGGGUCAAGACAGCAAAGAAAUGGAGUCUUACAAUUUUUUUUAUAAGGAUCUGGAAUUCAACUUAAGCCAUUAGUAUUGGACAUUAAAAAGCCACCUUUAUUUUUGAAAGAGGAUUUAUGGCCUUUUACAUGUUUAUUUUUCCUUCACUACUGGACAUCCAAGGAAGAAAGAACAUAAGGGUCAGAGACUCUCUCUGUCCAGCCAUAGGCCACAUCACCCCAGGUUCCCAACCUGAAAGUGUUCCCUGAGAUGGAGUGAUGGGGAAGGACAUUUUUCCAUUAACUCGGGUUGAGAGUUUGCCUCAGUCCUCAUCCAGGAGUCAACAUUACUUGGCUCAUUUUCACCUCACUCAACUUGGCCCCACCCUGUGCACCCAUCUGUCCAGUGACUCUCACUCACAUUUUCAUGUCAUUCAUGUGUUCCUGUUUUAUGAAACCUGAGAUAUGCUACAAUAGCACCAUCACAGUGUUUACCUGGUGCAGCAGAAGAGGAUUAAGGAAGAAAAGAACAAGUCAAAGUCAGAGAGGAAGUAAAGGACAGAAUACAGGUCCACAGUGACUACUGGUUUACUAACCUUGUUUCCCAUGCUAUUGGAGUAGCCAAAAAACUAGGAACUGAGCAACAUGGACUGUACUUAUACUCACUCUGAUGGUCUGGGGUUUCCCCUAUAGGUUAUAUAUGAUUGAUGCAUACAUUUAGUUUUUUGAGACAGGGUCUCACUAUGUAGUCCAGGCUGGCCUUAAACUCACAACCAUCUUCCUCUUGCCUCAGCCUCCCCAGUUCUGGGAUUACAGGAGUGUGCCACGAUGCCUGGCUUAUUAUGUAUAUUUAUAGAGAAGCAAAAGUUCAUUGGAGGUGAUCUGGUUCCUGAGCCAUCUCCUUCUUGUUCAACUGCAACCAUUACACUCAUUCUGUGGAAGUUUUACUUUUUCAUUUGUGCUGAUACUCUGGGCUCUAUUCCUGUUGUGAGGCAUUUAUUGCAGUGCCACUUCUUCAAUGUAUAGGCAAACAAACUGGGAGCUAGAGAUAUUAAACAAUUUACCCAAAUCUACACCUAGUUGUCAGGGACAGAACUGCAAAUAAAAUGAAGAUUCUGUUUCUAAGGCUCUUCUCUGUAAACUACAGUGUUUUCUACCUCUAAAGAAUAACAAACAGGUCUUGGCGUUUUAAAAAAAUAAAUGGAGGUGGAUUUUCUUGUCCUGGUCCAGAUACUCUUACUCACUGUCUGCUCCUAUUUUGAAAGAUUCAACUUGACUUCCCUUGAUUGAGGGUCAAUGAGCCGAGAAUUCAAGGACAGGCACCAGGAGUGCGUUAUGUAGCAAAUGAUGAAAACAUGAAAGACAUUCUUUGCAGGCUUUAGAAGACAGGGAGGAGGGAGUAGCAAAGGUGGGGGUUCUUUGCUGAAAUACCCUCAUGUUUCUGAGUCCCAAGAUACUACUAAAUCAGACCCAGGUCAUAUGGUGCCUAUGCUUGUCUCUUGGCCCAGGGUGAAAACAGU
rnacentral:lncRNA from 1 species